AAUCAUUUCAAUCUCGAAUCAUGAUUUGUUGCGUAAAACAUAAUUAAUUUGUGUAUUUUCCCUUUGAGUUUUGCAAUUUAAAUGUUUAAUUAUUGAAUUAUGACUUAUAUCUGGUUUUCAUGAAAUAGGUGGAAGAAUUGGAGCAAAAUAAUCUUGAAGAUAAAAUUUGGCAAGAUUGUACGAGUUGGACUCGUUUAGAGAUUUUGACCCUUAUCUUACUUUGUUUUGAUGAUACUUUUUGUUACAAAACUCCGAUUUGGAUUCACAAAAGAUCGUUGAAAAGAGAAUUGAAAGAUAUAAUCGGAUUAUC
rnacentral:lncRNA from 1 species